AGCAGCCGCGGUAAUUCCAGCUCUAAUAGCGUAUAUUAAAGUUGUUGCAGUUAAAAAGCUCGUAGUUGAAUUUCAGGCCUGGCUGGACGGUCCGCCCUUCGGGUGAGUACUGUCUGUGGUCGGGUCCUACCUUCUGGCGAAGCGUCAUGGCCUUAACCGGCCGUGGCGGGGAACCAGGGACUUUUACUGUGAAAAAAUUAGAGUGUUCAAAGCAGGCAAUCGCUUGGAUACAUUAGCAUGGAAUAAUGGAAUAGGACAAUGGUUCUAUUUGUUGGUUUCUAGGACCGUUGUAAUGAUUAAUAGGGAUAGUUGGGGGCAUUAGUAUUCAAUUGUCAGAGGUGAAAUUCUUGGAUUUAUUGAAGACUAACUACUGCGAAAGCAUUUGCCAAGGAUGUUUUCAUUAAUCAAGAACGAAAGUUAGGGGGAUCGAGGACGAUCAGAUACCGUCGUAGUCUUAACCAUAAACUAUGCCGACUAGGAAUCGGGCGAUGUUGACAAAAUGACGCGCUCGGCA
rnacentral:rRNA from 1 species